UCCCUCCCUCUCCCUCUCCCUUUCCCUCUCCCGUUGUGUCCUCUUCCCUCUUCUCCCUCUUUGAGUGGAGCACCAAAAAAGAGAACAAAAAAUG
rnacentral:ribozyme from 1 species